GUUAUGUGAUAGUUUGCAAAAAAUAUAAUUAAAAUAACAUUAAGUUUUCGAGUUAUUUAAAUGGAAAUAUUGCAUUGUAGCAUUGUAAAGGAUCUUUUUUAUGAAGUUGAUUGAGUGUUGUUUGUUGAACCUCCAGUAGCAAAUAUUUCAUGCAUGUUCAUGGCGAAAAACUAUACAUUUAAAAUACAAUAUAUAGGUCAUGCAAUAGGGGAUUUAAUGUGAAAAUUGAAAUACCACUGGAGAAUGGGGGUAUAUUGGAUAAGGACUGUUAAGCAUAACAGCUAGCCAAAUGCGGAUUCCUUAAUGAAUUGUUGCAAAUUGAAAAUAGUUUUACUAAUACGCAUGAUUAGAAAAUAUAUUUUUAAAUAGUAUCUAAAUAAUAUGUCAGAAAAUAUAUUUCAAUAGUAUCGAAAAAACACGUCAGAAA
rnacentral:lncRNA from 1 species